rnacentral:rRNA from 1 species
AGUGAACGCUGGCGGUAGGCCUAACACAUGCAAGUCGAACGGCAGCACAGUAAGAGCUUGCUCUUACGGGUGGCGAGUGGCGGACGGGUGCGGAAUACAUCGGAAUCUACUUUUUCGUGGGGGAUAACGUAGGGAAACUUACGCUAAUACCGCAUACGACCUACGGGUGAAAGCAGGGGAUCUUCGGACCUUGCGCGAUUGAAUGAGCCGAUGUCGGAUUAGCUAGUUGGCGGGGUAAAGGCCCACCAAGGCGACGAUCCGUAGCUGGUCUGAGAGGAUGAUCAGCCACACUGGAACUGAGACACGGUCCAGACUCCUACGGGAGGCAGCAGUGGGGAAUAUUGGACAAUGGGCGCAAGCCUGAUCCAGCCAUACCGCGUUGGUGAAGAAGGCCUUCGGGUUGUAAAGCCCUUUUGUUGGGAAAGAAAAGCAGCAGGUUAAUACCCCGCUGUUCUGACGGUACCCAAAGAAUAAGCACCGGCUAACUUCGUG